AUUGAACGCUGGCGGCAGGCUUAACACAUGCAAGUCGAGCGGAGAUGAGGUGCUUGCACCUUAUCUUAGCGGCGGACGGGUGAGUAAUGCUUAGGAAUCUGCCUAUUAGUGGGGGACAACAUUCCGAAAGGAAUGCUAAUACCGCAUACGUCCUACGGGAGAAAGCAGGGGAUCUUCGGACCUUGCGCUAAUAGAUGAGCCUAAGUCGGAUUAGCUAGUUGGUGGGGUAAAGGCCUACCAAGGCGACGAUCUGUAGCGGGUCUGAGAGGACGAUCCGCCACACUGGGACUGGGACACGGCCCAGACUCCUACGGGAGGCAGCAGUGGGGAAGAUUGGACAAUGGGGGGAACCCUGAUCCAGCCAUGCCGCGUGUGUGAAGAAGGCCUUAUGGUUGUAAAGCACUUUAAGCGAGGAGGAGGCUACUGAGACUAAUACUCUUGGAUAGUGGACGUUACUCGCAGAAUAAGCACCGGCUAACUCUGCGCCAGCAGCCGCGGUAACAC
rnacentral:rRNA from 1 species